AAAUUGAAGAGUUUGAUCAUGGCUCAGAUUGAACGCUGGCGGCAGGCCUAACACAUGCAAGUCGAGCGGUAGCACAGAGAGCUUGCUCUCGGGUGACGAGCGGCGGACGGGUGAGUAAUGUCUGGGAAACUGCCUGAUGGAGGGGGGAUAACUACUGGAAACGGUAGCUAAUACCGCAUAAUGUCGCAAGACCAAAGUGGGGGACCUUCGGGCCUCAUGCCAUCAGAUGUGCCCAGAUGGGAUUAGCUAGUAGGUGGGGUAACGGCUCACCUAGGCGACGAUCCCUAGCUGGUCUGAGAGGAUGACCAGCCACACUGGAACUGAGACACGGUCCAGACUCCUACGGGAGGCAGCAGUGGGGAAUAUUGCACAAUGGGCGCAAGCCUGAUGCAGCCAUGCCGCGUGUGUGAAGAAGGCCUUCGGGUUGUAAAGCACUUUCAGCGGGGAGGGAAGGCGGUGAGGUUAAUAACCUCAUCGAUUGACGUUACCCGCAGAAGAAGCACCGGCUAACUCCGUGCCAGCAGCCGCGGUAAUACGGAGGGUGCAAGCGUUAAUCGGAAUUACUGGGCGUAAAGCGCACGCAGGCGGUCUGUCAAGUCGGAUGUGAAAUCCCCGGGCUCAACCUGGGAACUGCAUUCGAAACUGGCAGGCUAGAGUCUUGUAGAGGGGGGUAGAAUUCCGAGGUGUAGCGGUGAAAUGCGUAGAGAUCUGGAGGAAUACCGGUGGCGAAGGCGGCCCCCUGGACAAAGACUGACGCUCAGGUGCGAAAGCGUGGGGAGCAAACAGGAUUAGAUACCCUGGUAGUCCACGCCGUAAACGAUGUCGAUUUGGAGGUUGUGCCCUUGAGGCGUGGCUUCCGGAGCUAACGCGUUAAAUCGACCGCCUGGGGAGUACGGCCGCAAGGUUAAAACUCAAAUGAAUUGACGGGGGCCCGCACAAGCGGUGGAGCAUGUGGUUUAAUUCGAUGCAACGCGAAGAACCUUACCUGGUCUUGACAUCCACAGAACUUUCCAGAGAUGGAUUGGUGCCUUCGGGAACUGUGAGACAGGUGCUGCAUGGCUGUCGUCAGCUCGUGUUGUGAAAUGUUGGGUUAAGUCCCGCAACGAGCGCAACCCUUAUCCUUUGUUGCCAGCGGUCCGGCCGGGAACUCAAAGGAGACUGCCAGUGAUAAACUGGAGGAAGGUGGGGAUGACGUCAAGUCAUCAUGGCCCUUACGACCAGGGCUACACACGUGCUACAAUGGCAUAUACAAAGAGAAGCGACCUCGCGAGAGCAAGCGGACCUCAUAAAGUAUGUCGUAGUCCGGAUUGGAGUCUGCAACUCGACUCCAUGAAGUCGGAAUCGCUAGUAAUCGUAGAUCAGAAUGCUACGGUGAAUACGUUCCCGGGCCUUGUACACACCGCCCGUCACACCAUGGGAGUGGGUUGCAAAAGAAGUAGGUAGCUUAACCUUCGGGAGGGCGCUUACCACUUUGUGAUUCAUGACUGGGGUGAAGUCGUAACAAGGUAACCGUAGGGGGAACCUGCGGUUGGAUCACCUCCUUA
rnacentral:rRNA from 1 species